CUCCGGUUGAUCCUGCCGGACCCGACUGCUAUCGGAUUGAGAUUUAGCCAUGCGAGUCGACGUAGCAAUGCGUGGCGAACGGCUCAGUAACACGUAGUCAACAUGCCCAGGGGACGUGGAUAACCUCGGGAAACUGAGAAUAAACCACGAUAGGUCACGAUUUCUGGAAUGGAUCAUGGCCUAAAUCUACAUGGCCCCUGGAUUGGACUGCGGCCGAUCAGGCUGUUGGUGAGGUAAUGGCCCACCAAACCUAUAACCGGUACGGGCUCUGAGAGGAGAAGCCCGGAGAUGGGCACUGAGACAAGGGCCCAGGCCCUAUGGGGCGCAGCAGGCGCGAAACCUCUGCAAUAGGCGAAAGCCUGACAGGGUUACUCUGAGUGAUUUCCGCUAAGGGGAUCUUUUGGCACCUCUAAAAAUGGUGCAGAAUAAGGGGUGGGCAAGUCUGGUGUCAGCCGCCGCGGUAAUACCAGCACCCCGAGUGGUCGGGACGAUUAUUGGGCCUAAAGCAUCCGUAGCCGGUUCUGCAAGUCUUCCGUUAAAUCCAGCCGCUCAACGGAUGGGCCGCGGAGGAUACUACAGGACUAGGAGGCGGGAGAGGCAAGCGGUACUCAGUGGGUAGGGGUAAAAUCCGUUGAUCCAUUGAAGACCACCAGUGGCGAAGGCGGCUUGCCAGAACGCGCUCGACGGUGAGGGAUGAAAGCUGGGGGAGCAAACCGGAUUAGAUACCCGGGUAGUCCCAGCUGUAAACGAUGCAGACUCGGUGAUGAGUUGGCUACAUGCCAUCUCAGUGCCGCAGGGAAGCCGUUAAGUUUGCCGCCUGGGGAGUACGGUCGCAAGACUGAAACUUAAAGGAAUGGCGGGGGAGCA
rnacentral:rRNA from 1 species